GUCACACCGUCCCUCACUCUGUCACUAGAGUGAGGGGGUGACUAGUGACAGAGUGAGGGGGUGACAAGUGACAGAGUGAGGGAAGGGGUGACUAGUGGCAGAGUGAGGGAAGGAAGGGGUGACUAGUGACAGAGUGAGGGGAUGACUGGUGACAGAGAGGGAGGUGGUGACUGUCACUAGUCACCCCAUCCCUCCCUCUGUCACUAGUCACUCCCUCCCUAACUCUGUCACUAGUCACCCCCUCCCUCUGUCAUUGUGUCACCCCAUCCCUCCCUCUGUCACUGUAUCACUCCAUCCCUCCCUCUGUCACUAGUCACUCACUCUAGUGA